AGUAAAAUGCCCGAUUAAAGGAUUAUUUUGAUAUAAUAAAUAUGUGUAAUUAAUAUUCACUUUUACUA
rnacentral:tRNA from 1 species